rnacentral:rRNA from 1 species
AAUGAACGCUGGCGGCGUGCCUAACACAUGCAAGUCGAAUGUGCCCGCAAGGGUGCAUGGCAGACGGGUGAGUAACGCGUGGGCAAUCUACCUUCUCGUGGGGAAUAACGCUCCGAAAGGAGUGGUAAUACCGCAUGAGACCGACGACUGGGAUGUUGUCGGUGAAACCUGGGGACCUUCGGGCCUGGGGCGAGAAGAGGAGCCUGCGUCUGAUUAGCUAGUUGGUGGGGUAACGGCCUACCAAGGCAUCGAUCAGUAGCCGGCCUGAGAGGGUGAUCGGCCACACUGGAACUGAGACACGGUCCAGACUCCUACGGGAGGCAGCAGUGGGGAAUUUUGCGCAAUGGACGAAAGUCUGACGCAGCAACGCCGCGUGGGUGAUGAAGGUCUUCGGAUCGUAAAACCCUGUCGUUGGGGACGAAGGUAGGGAGGUUAAUAGCCUCUUUGCUUGACGGUACCCGGAGAGGAAGCCCCGGCUAACUCUGUGCCAGCCGCCGCAGUAAAAC